rnacentral:pre_miRNA from 2 species
UGGAAGACUAGUGAUUUUGUUGUUCUGAUGUACUAUGACAACAAGUCACAGCUUCCUCA